UGGUUUUACCUACUGAAUGUAAAUAUUUUUAUAUAUCGCAGAGAGCUAAUUUUUUCCCUAUUUUACAAUUUAAUACAGUGCCAGGAACCAUUCUAAACCCAGCUGCUGAGAAAUUGGAUGUGAUUAGCACGAGGCUGGAGGCCCGCCAGCCUCGUGUUAAAGGGUAAGGUAAUAAAACAUCGAGUAAUAGUCAGGACAUUACAAAGAAGUCAUCAGAUGUGUCAAGCAGAGUCCAUGAUUGUAAAGAAGAAACCAGUUCAUUUGUUAGUGCAGAGGAAGGAAGACAGAAAUCCAAAUUACAAAAUGAGAAAUGGACAGUAAACUGAAUUGUAUGUUCCUCUAAAACUUUGGUAAACUACAAUCCUGUUUCUACUGUACCGUCAAUAAACUCCAGCAUUAAAGUAAAUGCUUCAUAGAUUCCCUUGUUCACUAAUCGAGCUACAAGUACGAAAAUAAUAUUGCAGCUAUUUGAUCCUUAACUUCGUUCCUGGUACUAAUACAAACACUGCAAAAGGGAAUGAAUUUUCUUUUCUGUAUUUCAUCCAUUCCUUACGUUUAUGAAAUUACAAAUUUUAAGAGCAUAAAGUCCAUUGUGUAUGAAGGACGGAGUGUGAAGCAUUGAAGUUACGAGAAAUACAUACAUCUAGAAAGUUCUAAUUGUGUAAUCUUGAAGGUAAGAUACCACUUGUGUAACAUAGGCGUAAAAGGAAGGAUAAUAUUAAAAUGUCUUUGAGUAAUUACAGUAUGUGGGAAGGGUUCAACUACCGACUUUUGUGAAUAAGGUAAUGAAUCUUAAGGCUCCAUAAAAGCCAAACAUUUCAUGGCCUGGUGACAGAGUAAUAAAUAUCAAGAAGGGCCCGCUGAAUGGGGUUAGAGUAAGUUUCGUUUGGCAGAUUUUUUUGUAUAUAAUGUGACAUAUUACGGAAUAUGUGUGCAGGAGGAGACAACAGUACAUUAUACAAGCUCAUAACCGAAAAGUAUGACCCUGCAGAAGACACGUGGACCGUGAUCCCUUACCGGAUCAUCCCAGACAGAUACUUCAACGUAGAAAUGAUCGACACGCACAUUGUCAUUUGUGAUUGUUAUGACGUUAGCGAAAUUUACAAUGAAGAGGAAAGAAAAUGGUACCAGGCGUCAAAAUGUAAUUUUUGUAGAUAUGGGAUGUCGAUUUGUGUCGUCAAGGACCUACCGAAUGCAAAAGAUUACGCCUACAAACACACAUCCAAAUUAAUUUAGUAGACACGUAAAAAACUGUUCGCGUAGGAAACCCUGCGGAGUAAGCCUUUGAUUACAACCUCGACAAACACGUCAAUUUUAAUUACGUUCCUCUAGAAAAUAAUGAAGAAAAGUGGGAUGUGAUGUAGUAGCCAAGAUGAGUAAUAAGUCAUAGUUGGAAUUAUUAUUUCUCUUCGUUAUUUUCUGCUCAAGAAGUUUUAUUAACACUAAAUUAUUAUAAAGACGUUUCAUUGUAUCCAAAAUAUUAUUAUCCAUGAACACAUACUAGUUUCACUUAGCGACUUGUAUGAAAUUCAUUUCAGGCGACAUGUUUCGAGUUACGAAAGCGUCUUCAUGGUUUUAGGGGAAGUGGGGGAAAUCACGCCAUCUUAAAGGAAAAUAAAAAGUUGUUGCUUCAUGAACAUCGUUUACAAAAACUUCAUUACGAAGGCAACACACGUGAAAUUUUUAUUUAUUUAUAAUGUAUUACAUGUAUUUAAAAAAUGUUGGUUGAGUUGCGCCAAUAUACCGUGUAAUUCUGCCAUGUUUCUGGCGAAGUACCACCAUUUCCAAAUGCCAUAAAGAUAAAGACGAUGCUUUCCGAUAACGGUUAUAUUUAUUUAUUCAUGUAAUUUUGUACGGUAUUUUUAAGGGCUUGAUGUAUAAGUACAGAUUAUUACCAAAAAAAUACACAAAACUAAUUAACUUCAAUUUAGUUAAGACACAUACAGAGUAAAAGAUGUUAUAAAAUGGGGAUCACAUAGCGUGUUUCCGAGAUAAAGUCAAAUUCUGUAUCAGCUUAACAGAUCAUAAACCAGGGCUCAAAAACACAAUAUGCCGACAAACUGCCUGGCACUCGGGCAAUACCGCACAAUAAAGUACCAUUACUUCAGACGUGGUUAACGUAACACAUUAUUUAUUCCCGCAAGAGCCCAGAAUGUUACAAGUCUGCAUAUUCAGAAGAAUAGACAUGCACAUUUGUACUUUCAAAUAUUUAACGUCCAAAGCAUGUCCAUAACAAGGAUCGGCUGGUUAAUCCCAUGUAGGGAAGUUAUGUCUUUUUGUUCUGAGAAUCUACAAAACCCAUAAUUACAUAUUGUGAUUGUUAAUUCAGGCUUUCCUUUCCGUUAACACUGGGUUUUAAAAAUGUGAACUCUUUAAGGCAAUCAAUGUCAUUAUGGAGGCGAGCGAUCUUCAUCUGCAGAAAGUUAUUACUACGUAACUAAACAUUAGUUAAGUUCUGUUCUCAUUUUCCAAAACCGUGUUGAGUGAGCCCUUUGGCACCAUGGUGUUUCACAUCAGGAGAAUACGGACAACAGCCGAUAAGGGGUAGUCUUCUAACGAAGGGAUUAAGAAGGGGGUAACAACUUACUAACUUAUUAUAUUACAGAGCUGUGUAUUUCUCUGACCGGAGUACAAGUUUCUCAAGAAUACGUUUGCUCCAUGAAUUUCGUUACAUUUUCCAAAGGAAUUUCGAAACUUAUAAUAAAAUACAAAAUGACAUGUAUUUAUAAAAAUACUAACUUUUGUUUUCUAACAAAGUCACAUUUUUGCGACAUCACAUCAAUUCUCAUUACAAGUUCAAUUUAAGAUUAAAUAUUCUCAGUGGAUGUAAUUAUGUUAUGUUUUACAACUAUCAACAUGCGAGUAUCAGUUUUAAUAACACGUUUAUUCUGGAAAUGUCUUUGCUUGCAUAAAAUGCUCUCUAAGUACUUUAGAUGUUACUUGCGUAAGGUGGAGGGACAAGAUUUGUGGUUUGAUUUUUGUGGAAGGCUGAGGUACAAGUCUAAAUUCAAUGACAUUCCCACCCUCGACGUCAUGCAUUUCGCAUAUACUCCGUGCACUUUACAUACCCCAGCCAUCGUAUUCUCAUUGAUUUGAUCAUCCAAAUAACAAUUGAUGGAGAUUAGAAAUUAUGAAGAUUUUCACAAUUCAGUUUUCUCCAGAAUCCUGUUGCUGCCCCUCUCUUAGAUCCAAUGAUUUUCUACAGAACCUUGUUCUCAAAUAUCAGAUUUCACACCCAUGGAAGUAAAUGGGUAAAACUGUGAUCUUAAGUUGUGAUGGCAGUCAAGAUGUCAAAAAUGAUCUUCCACAUAUUUUUAACUUGUGGUCUUGUAGAUGGUUACCAAUGUUUCAGAGGAACACGUGUGGCAUUGCAGCCUUUGAGACUGACAUUGACAAAUGAAAUUAUAGAUACUUGUAUUUUAAUCUUUAUGUCUCUAGACAGGAGAAAAUAAAAGAAAAUUAUUCUGAACA